UUGGAGGGCAAGUCUGGUGCCAGCAGCCGCGGUAAUUCCAGCUCCAAUAGCGUAUAUUAAAGUUGUUGCAGUUAAAAAGCUCGUAGUUGAAUUUCGAGAUCAAUUUGUUGGUCGUGCCUCGGUACGUACUGGCAAUUUUGAUUUCUCCCUUCUGAAGAACCAUGAUGUCAUUAAUUUGGUGUCAUGGGGAAUCAGGACCGUUACUUUGAAAAAAUUAGAGUGUUUAAAGCAGGCUCGCGCUUGAAUACAUUAGCAUGGAAUAAUGAAAUAGGACGUUUGAUUCUAUUUUGUUGGUUUCUAGGAUCGACGUAAUGAUUAAUAGGGAUAGUUGGGGGCAUUAGUAUUCAAUUGUCAGAGGUGAAAUUCUUGGAUUUAUUGAAGACUAACUACUGCGAAAGCAUUUGCCAAGGAUGUUUUCAUUAAUCAAGAACGAAAGUUAGGGGAUCGAAGACGAUCAGAUACCGUCGUAGUCUUAACCAUAAACUAUGCCGACUAGGGAUCGGAUGAUGUUAAUUUUUUAAUGACUCAUUCGGCGCCUUACGGGAAAC
rnacentral:rRNA from 1 species